AUGGUGCCAUCUCACAUAAAAAAAACAGAUGCGGCUUCUACAACAGAGAGAAUCCGAUCUAGUUUGGAUAAUUCUGAAUUGGAUUUACAGGCCAUUAGAAAUGCACGAUCGAGUAAACCAGGCUAUGAGGAAGAACUCCAUGUUCUUGAAGAUGCUAAAGGAAUUCCUUGUUUCAAAAACCAUAAUCUGCAGAAGACUAAUCACUAA